rnacentral:rRNA from 1 species
UAAUACGUAGGGGGCGAGCGUUGUCCGGAAUUAUUGGGCGUAAAGAGCUCGUAGGCGGUUACGCAAGUCGGGUGGGAAAUCUCCAGGCUCAACCUGGAGCCUUCGCUCGAUACUGCGUUGACUAGAGUCCGGUAGGGGAGUGUGGAAUUCCCGGUGUAGCGGUGAAAUGCGCAGAUAUCGGGAGGAACACCGGCGGCGAAGGCGGCACUCUGGGCCGGUACUGACGCUGAGGAGCGAAAGCGUGGGGAGCAAACAGGAUUAGAUACCCUGGUAGUCCACGCCGUAAACGUUGGGCACUAGGUGUGGGGCCUUAUCAACGGGUUCUGUGCCGCAGCUAACGCAAUAAGUGCCCCGCCUGGGGAGUACGGCCGCAAGGCUA